ACGGGGGGACUCCUACGGGAGGCAGCAGUGGGGAAUAUUGGACAAUGGGCGAAAGCCUGAUCCAGCAACGCCGCGUGUGUGAAGAAGGCCCUAGGGUUGUAAAGCACUUUCAGUGGGGAAGAAAAGCAGGGCGCUAAUAUCGCCCUGUGAUGACGUUACCCACAGAAGAAGCACCGGCUAACUCCGUGCCAGCAGCCGCGGUAAU
rnacentral:rRNA from 1 species